rnacentral:rRNA from 1 species
GCAAUACGGAGCGGCAGACGGGAGAGUAACACGUGGGAACGUGCCCUUCAGUUCGGAACAACCCAGGGAAACUUGGGCUAAUACCGGAUACGUCCGUAAGGAGAAAGAUUUAUCGCUGAAGGAUCGGCCCGCGUCUGAUUAGCUAGUUGGUGAGGUAACGGCUCACCAAGGCGACGAUCAGUAGCUGGUCUGAGAGGAUGAUCAGCCUCACUGGGACUGAGACACGGCCCAGACUCCUACGGGAGGCAGCAGUGGGGAAUAUUGGACAAUGGGCGCAAGCCUGAUCCAGCCAUGCCGCGUGGAUGAUGAAGGCCCUAGGG